rnacentral:rRNA from 1 species
GACGGGGGUGCCAAGCGUUAGGCGGAAUCACUGGGCUUAAAGCGUGUGUAGGCGGACUUGUAAGUACCUUGUGAAAUCCCACGGCUCACCCGUGGAACUGCUGGGUAUACUGCGAGUCUUGAGCCACUUAGGGGCUGUCGGAACAGGCGGUGGAGCGGUGAAAUGCGUAGAUAUCGCCUGGAACGCCAAAGGUGAAAACAGACAGCUGGGAGUGUGCUGACGCUGAGACACGAAAGCCAGGGGAGCGAACGGG